rnacentral:rRNA from 1 species
UACGUAGGGUGCGAGCGUUAAUCGGAAUUAUUGGGCGUAAAGGGCGCGUAGGCGGCUUGGCAAGUGGAUGGUGAAAUCCCUCGGCUUAACCGAGGAACUGCCGUCCAAACUGCUUCGCUUGAGACCGGGAGAGGUGAGUGGAAUUCCCAGUGUAGCGGUGAAAUGCGUAGAUAUUGGGAGGAACACCAGUGGCGAAGGCGGCUCACUGGACCGGUACUGACGCUGAUGCGCGAAAGCGUGGGGAGCAAACGGG